rnacentral:rRNA from 1 species
AGCCAUGCCGCGUGAGUGAAGAAGGCCUUCGGGUUGUAAAGCUCUUUCAGACGGAAAGAAACGGUUACGACUAAUACUCGUGACUAAUGACGGUACCGUCAGAAGAAGCACCGGCUAACUACGUGCCAGCAGCCGCGGUAAUACGUAGGGUGCGAGCGUUAAUCGGAAUUACUGGGCGUAAAGCGUGCGCAGGCGGUUUGGUAAGACAGAUGUGAAAUCCCCGGGCUUAACCUGGGAACUGCAUUUGUGACUGCCAGACUAGAGUGCGGCAGAGGGGGGUAGAAUUCCACGUGUAGCAGUGAAAUGCGUAGAUAUGUGGAGGAAUACCGAUGGCGAAGGCAGCCCCCUGGGUCGACACUGACGCUCAUGCACGAAAGCGUGGGGAGCAAACAGGAUUAGAUACCCUGGUAGUCCACGCCCUAAACGAUGUCAACUAGUUGUUGGGGAAGGAGACUUCUUUAGUAACGUAGCUAACGCGCUAAGUUGACCGCCUGGGGAGUACGGUCGCAAGAUUA